UUUGUGCCAGCCAGUCGCGGUUAUACCCCAGUACACUUAUCGGAGGUAGCAGAAGUCUUCACUCGCUAGCCGUCUAUAUUAUUUGUGAACGCUAAUCAUGACUAGUCAGCGGUUUAAUGCGGCUAUAGAAAGUCUGUUGAUGAUGAGUUUCAUGUUCAGGUGACGCGAGUAAAACCAACUAACUAGACCCGGAUUAGAUACCCGGUUAUAGCAUGGCUGAAAUAAAAAAGGCUGGAGGAUCAAUCGAAGAACUUGGCGGUUCGAAGUGAACCUAGGGGAUCCUGGUAAUAAGGCGAGAACCCACGCUAAACCUUACCUCGGGCCACGUCGGUAUAUCGCCGUGGAGCUGCAGAAACAACUGCGUUAUGGAGUCGUUGAGUGUAUUGCAUUGACUCUCUACACAGGUUAGAUGCCACGCCCCCGAGGGAUAAGCUGGGAUACAAUUAUUCUAUAUAAACACCUAGAUCUGAAACAAUCUGUGUAUAAUAGGACUUAGAAGUAAGUAAGCUCAGAUAGGCUUACUGAAUAUGAUCAACUUUGAGCGUACAAAUCGCCCGUCACUUCCUGCGAGAGCGGGAAUAAGUCAUAACAUAGUAGGGGUAAAA
rnacentral:rRNA from 1 species